rnacentral:rRNA from 1 species
AUACGUAGGGGGCGAGCGUUGUCCGGAAUGAUUGGGCGUAAAGGGCGCGUAGGCGGCGCGGUAAGUCUGGAGUGAAAGUCCUGCUUUCAAGGUGGGAAUUGCUUUGGAUACUGCCGCGCUUGAGUGCAGGAGAGGUUAUCGGAAUUCCCGGUGUAGCGGUGAAAUGCGUAGAGAUCGGGAGGAACACCAGUGGCGAAGGCGGGUAACUGGACUGCAACUGACGCUGAGGCGCGAAAGUGUGGGGAGCAAACAGGAUUAGAUACCCUGGUAGUCCACACUGUAAACGAUGAAUGCUAGGUGUAAGAGGUAUCGACCCCUUUUGUGCCGGAGUCAACACAAUAAGCACUCCGCCUGGGGAGUACGGCCGCAAGGUUGAAACUCAAAUGAAUUGACGGGG